GGUUCUUUGAUGUAGCGGUCAGCACUCUGGACUUCGAAUCCAGCGAUCCAAGUUCAAAUCUCGGUAGAACCU
rnacentral:tRNA from 1 species